GCUUAGCCGUAAACACAGAUAUUAUUUAUACACUUUUAUCCGCCUGGGAAUUACAAGCACUAGCUUAAAACCCGAAGGACUUGGCGGUGCUUCAAACCCACCUAGAGGAGCCUGUUCUGGAACCGAUAACCCCCGUUAAACCUCACCCUUCCUUGUUUAACCCGCCUAUAUACCGCCGUCGUCAGCUUACCUUUUGAAAGUAUUAUAGUAAGCAAAAUUGGUAAAACCUAAAACGUCAGGUCGAGGUGUAGUAUAUGGAAGGGGAAGAAAUGGGCUACAUUCAUCUACUGAUGCAUCACAAAUUAAUUAUUGAAAGAUAAUUAUGAAGGAGGAUUUAGCAGUAAAAAGGAAAUAGAGUGUCCUUUUGAAACUGGCCCUGAAGCGCG
rnacentral:rRNA from 1 species